UACGGGGGGGGCAAGCGUUGUUCGGAAUUACUGGGCGUAAAGGGCGCGUAGGCGGCCUGCUAAGUCGGAUGUGAAAUCCCCAGGCUUAACCUGGGAACUGCAUCCGAUACUGGAUGGCUUGAAUCCGGGAGAGGGAUGCGGAAUUCCAGGUGUAGCGGUGAAAUGCGUAGAUAUCUGGAGGAGCACCGGUGGCGAAGGCGGCAUCCUGGACCGGCAUUGACGCUGAGGAGCGAAAGCCAGGGGAGCAAACGGG
rnacentral:rRNA from 1 species